CGGGGUGUAGCGCAGUGGCUAGCGCGCAGCGUUCGGGACGCUGAGGCCGGCGGUUCGAGUCCGCCCACCCCGACCA
rnacentral:tRNA from 1 species